rnacentral:snoRNA from 1 species
ACGAUGUGUGGGUGAGCUUUCCUCAAGCUUAUCCAGUACAGCACGAAGUUGCUUGAAAUGUGCAAUACAAUUCGGCUGUGGCAUCGUAGAUCAAUUCGUAUGAAACUGGUUAUAUUCCAUUAGCUUCUCGUAGCCUUUUAGGCAAUGACCGUCUAGAAAAACCAUAACCAGUACAAAU